rnacentral:rRNA from 1 species
AUUGGGGGAGGCUUAACACAUGCAAGUCGAGCGCGAAAGUUCCUUCGGGAGCGAGUAGAGCGGCGGACGGGUGAGUAACGCGUGGGAAAUUGCCCAGUAGUGGGGGACAACAACCGGAAACGGUUGCUAAUACCGCAUACGCCCUACGGGGGAAAGCGGGGGAUCUUCGGACCUCGUGCUAUUGGAUAUGCCCGCGUCGGAUUAGCUUGUUGGUGAGGUAACGGCUCACCAAGGCGACGAUCCGUAGCUGGUCUGAGAGGAUGAUCAGCCACACUGGGACUGAGACACGGCCCAGACUCCUACGGGAGGCAGCAGUGGGGAAUAUUGCACAAUGGGCGCAAGCCUGAUGCAGCCAUGCCGCGUGUGUGAAGAAGGCCUUCGGGUUGUAAAGCACUUUCAGUAGGGAGGAAGGCCCUAAAGUUAAUACCUUUGGGGAUUGACGUUACCUACAGAAGAAGCACCGGCUAACUCCGUGCCAGCAGCCGCGGUAAU